rnacentral:rRNA from 1 species
AACGAACGCUGGCGGCAUGCCUAACACAUGCAAGUCGAACGAUCCCUUCGGGGAUAGUGGCGCACGGGUGCGUAACGCGUGGGAAUCUGCCCUUGGGUUCGGAAUAACAGUUAGAAAUGACUGCUAAUACCGGUUGAAGUCUUCGGACCAAAGAUUUAUUGCCCAGGGAUGAGCCCGCGUAGGAUUAGGUAGUUGGUGAGGUAAAGGCUCACCAAGCCGACGAUCCUUAGCUGGUCUGAGAGGAUGAUCAGCCACACUGGGACUGAGACACGGCCCAGACUCCUACGGGAGGCAGCAGUGGGGAGUAUUGGACAAUGAGCGCACGCCUGAUCCAGCAAUGCCGCGUGAGUGAUGAAGGCCUUCGGAUCGUAAAGCUCUUUUACCCGGGAUGAUAAUGACAGUACCGGGAGAAUAAGCUCCGGCUAACUCCGUGCCAGCCGCCGCGGUAAAAC